GAUGAACGCUGGCGGCGUGCUUAAUACAUGCAAGUCGAACGGAGUAUGUAGCAAUACGUACUUAGUGGCGAACGGGUGAGUAACGCGUUGGUGACCUGCCUCGAAGAGAGGGAUAACAGUCCGAAAGGAUUGCUAAUACCUCAUGUGAUCAAGGAGUUUAGAAGUCCUUGAUUAAAGGAGUAAUUCACUUCGAGAGGGACCUGCGUACCAUCAGCUAGUUGGUGAGGUAACGGCCCACCAAGGCGAUGACGGUUAGGGGACCUGAGAGGGUGGCCCCCCACAAUGGAACUGAAACACGGUCCAUACACCUACGGGUGGCAGCAGUAGGGAAUAUUAGUUAAUGUGCGAAAGCGCGAACUAGCAACGCCGCGUGUGCGAUGAAGGCCUUCGGGUCGUAAAGCACUUUUCCGAGGGACGAGGAAGGACGGUACCUCGGGAAUAAGCAUCGGCUAACUACGUGCCAGCAGCCGCAGUAA
rnacentral:rRNA from 1 species